rnacentral:rRNA from 1 species
AACGCUAGCUACAGGCUUAACACAUGCAAGUCGAUGGGGCAGCAUGAACUUAGCUUGUAAGUUUGAUGGCGACCGGCGCACGGGUGAGUAACACGUAUCCAACCUGCCGAUGACUCGGGGAUAGCCUUUCGAAAGAAAGAUUAAUACCCGAUGGCAUAGUUCUUCCCGCAUGGUAGAACUAUUAAAGGAUUUCGGUCAUCGAUGGGGAUGCGUUCCAUUAGGUUGUUGGCGGGGUAACGGCCCACCAAGCCUUCGAUGGAUAGGGGUUCUGAGAGGAAGGUCCCCCACAUUGGAACUGAGACACGGUCCAAACUCCUACGGGAGGCAGCAGUGAGGAAUAUUGGUCAAUGGACGAGAGUCUGAACCAGCCAAGUAGCGUGAAGGAUGACUGCCCUAUGGGUUGUAAACUUCUUUUAUACGGGAAUAAAGUGAGGCACGUGUGCCUUUUUGUAUGUACCGUAUGAAUAAGGAUCGGCUAACUCCGUGCCAGCAGCCGCGGUAAUACGGAGGAUCCGAGCGUUAUCCGGAUUUAUUGGGUUUAAAGGGAGCGUAGGCGGACGCUUAAGUCAGUUGUGAAAGUUUGCGGCUCAACCGUAAAAUUGCAGUUGAUACUGGGUGUCUUGAGUACAGUAGAGGCAGGCGGAAUUCGUGGUGUAGCGGUGAAAUGCUUAGAUAUCACGAAGAACUCCGAUUG